rnacentral:lncRNA from 1 species
AGGAUCAAAGAAUCAAGUUAGGAAGUGAACCAAAAUAUGGAUUCAUGUACACAAGGUACCAUGGCGAUCUCAGGUCAAAGGAUCACUUAUACAACUCCCACUAGAGAACUAUAAGCUGACAUGUAAAUAAGACUCCAUCAGAUAUUCUCUCAUAGGUAUAUUCAGUGAACUCAUUCUCUAAUGAGCACCCAUAUCCUUGUAUUAGUGUUAUCACAUAAAUGGUUGUGAGUGAAAGAACUAGAUCUAGGGUUUCAAGGUUAGAUCUUGAAACU